UACGUAGGGCGCAAGCGUUGUCCGGAAUUAUUGGGUCGUAAGAGCUCGUAGGCGGUCUGUUGCGUCUGCCGGUGAAAACCCCGAGGCUUAACCUCGGGCCUGCGGUGGAUACGGGCAGACUAGAGGUAGGUAGGGGAGAACGGAAUUCCCGGUGUAGCGGUGAAAUGCGUAGAUAUCAGGAGGAACACCGGUGGUGUAAACGGCUUCUGGACCAUAACUGACACUGAGGCACGAAAGCGUGGGUAGCAAACAGG
rnacentral:rRNA from 1 species